UACGAAGGGGGCUAGCGUUGCUCGGAAUCACUGGGCGUAAAGGGUGCGUAGGCGGGUCUUUAAGUCAGGGGUGAAAUCCUGGAGCUCAACUCCAGAACUGCCUUUGAUACUGAGGAUCUUGAGUUCGGGAGAGGUGAGUGGAACUGCGAGUGUAGAGGUGAAAUUCGUAGAUAUUCGCAAGAACACCAGUGGCGAAGGCGGCUCACUGGCCCGAUACUGACGCUGAGGCACGAAAGCGUGGGGAGCAACAGG
rnacentral:rRNA from 1 species